rnacentral:rRNA from 1 species
GAGUUUGAUCCUGGCUCAGAUUGAACGCUGGCGGCAUGCUUUACACAUGCAAGUCGAACGGCAGCGCGGGGGCAACCCUGGCGGCGAGUGGCGAACGGGUGAGUAAUGCAUCGGAACGUAUCCUGUAAUGGGGGAUAACGUAGCGAAAGUUACGCUAAUACCGCAUACGCUCGAGAGAGGAAAGUGGGGGAUCGCAAGACCUCACGUUAUAGGAGCGGCCGAUGUCCGAUUAGCUAGUUGGUGGGGUAAAGGCCUACCAAGGCGACGAUCGGUAGCUGGUCUGAGAGGAUGAUCAGCCACACUGGGACUGAGACACGGCCCAGACUCCUACGGGAGGCAGCAGUGGGGAAUUUUGGACAAUGGGCGAAAGCCUGAUCCAGCCAUGCCGCGUGCGGGAAGAAGGCCUUCGGGUUGUAAACCGCUUUAGUCCGGGAAAAAGGGGUGCGAGGAUAAUACCCUUGUGCUUUGAUGGUACUGGAAGAAUAAGCACCGGCUAACUACGUGCCAGCAGCCGCGGUAAUCCC